rnacentral:rRNA from 1 species
UAGGGAAUCUUCGGCAAUGGGGGCAACCCUGACCGAGCAACGCCGCGUGAGUGAAGAAUGUUUUCGGAUCGUAAAGCUCUGUUGUAAGAGAAGAACGUGUGUGAGAGUGGAAAGUUCACACAGUGACGGUAACUUACCAGAAAGGGACGGCUAACUACGUGCCAGCAGCCGCGGUAAUACGUAGGUCCCGAGCGUUGUCCGGAGUUAUUGGGCGUAAAGCGAGCGCAGGCGGUUGAAUAAGUCUGAAGUUAAAGGCAGUGGCUUAACCAUUGGUGGCUUUGGAAACAGUUGAACUUGAGUGCAGAAGGGGAGAGUGGAAUUCCAUGUGUAGCGGUGAAGUGCGUAGAUAUAUGGAGGAACACCGGUGGCGAAAGCGGCUCUCUGGUCUGUAACUGACGCUGAGGAUCGAAAGCGUGGGGAGCAAACAGG